UACGUAGGGUGCAAGCGUUGUCCGGAAUUAUUGGGCGUAAAGAGCUCGUAGGCGGUCUGUCGCGUCGGAUGUGAAAAUCCAGGGCUCAACCCUGGACCUGCAUUCGAUACGGGCAGACUAGAGUUCGGUAGGGGAGACUGGAAUUCCUGGUGUAGCGGUGAAAUGCGCAGAUAUCAGGAGGAACACCGGUGGCGAAGGCGGGUCUCUGGGCCGAAACUGACGCUGAGGAGCGAAAGCAUGGGUAGCGAACAGG
rnacentral:rRNA from 1 species